AGGACGAACGCUGGCGGCGUGCUUAACACAUGCAAGUCGAGCGGAAAGGCCCUUCGGGGUACUCGAGCGGCGAACGGGUGAGUAACACGUGAGUAAUCUGCCCCUAGCUCUGGGAUAGCUCCGGGAAACCGGGAUUAAUACCGGAUACGACCACUUUAGACAUCUGUUGUGGUGGAAAGAAUUUUGGCUAGGGAUGAGCUCGCGGCCUAUCAGCUUGUUGGUGGGGUAACGGCCUACCAAGGCGACGACGGGUAGCCGGCCUGAGAGGGCGACCGGCCACACUGGGACUGAGACACGGCCCAGACUCCUACGGGAGGCAGCAGUGGGGAAUAUUGCGCAAUGGGCGAAAGCCUGACGCAGCGACGCCGCGUGGGGGAUGAAGGCCUUCGGGUUGUAAACCCGUUUCAGCAGGGACGAAGCGAAAGUGACGGUACCUGCAGAAGAAGCGCCGGCUAACUACGUGCCAGCAGCCGC
rnacentral:rRNA from 1 species